rnacentral:rRNA from 1 species
UGGGGAAUUGUUCACAAUGGGCGCAAGCCUGAUGGUGCGACGCCGCGUGAGGGAUGAAGGCCUUCGGGUUGUAAACCUCUGUCACCGGGGAAGAAACGCUUCAAGUUAACAGCUUGAAGCCUGACUUAACCCGGAGAGGAAGCAGUGGCUAACUCUGUGCCAGCAGCCGCGGUAAUACAGAGACUGCAAGCGUUAUUCGGAUUCACUGGGCGUAAAGGGUGCGCAGGCGGUUGGGUGUGUCAGAUGUGAAAUCCCGAGGCUUAACCUCGGAACUGCGUCUGAAACUACUCGACUAGAGUACUGGAGAGGGUAACGGAAUUCACGGUGUAGCAGUGAAAUGCGUAGAUAUCGUGAGGAACACCAGAGGCGAAGGCGGUUACCUGGACAGUUACUGACGCUCAGGCACGAAAGCAUGGGGAGCAAAAGGGAUUAGAUACCCACGUAGUCCCUGAGCGGGCUGGCAAGGCGCAU